UUCCAUGUUUGACGUGGUCAGACCUGAAGUCUCCAUUGAGGUUAAGCACACAGCUCCUGUUGAAGGUAUUUAUUAUGAGUUCUAAUAGGUCAUAGUCCCCACCGCCCACCUGUACAUGACUUGUUUUUUUUGUAUGAAAUUAAAGCGUAUAAAACUGUAUAUAUGUAUUAUUGUGUAGAAUUAAAGUCCUCCUAGCCAAAGGCUUAUGGUGCUCUCAGUAUCAGUUUGGGCCUCUGGUAGCUAAACGGAGGCGUUCUGUCUUUUAAUAAUACAACGUGUCUGAGUCCAUCUCUUACCUCACUGUUGGGUGAUGUGCAUAGAGGUUACAUCUGAGAUGCUUGAGUGAACAAAAGGAAUAGUGACUAUAACUUUUAUUUUUAAAGCAGGCCUUAAGAAACCUUACGAAACAAACAAAAAAAACAUUCAUUCAAAUUUGCCUGUAAACCUUUGGAAAGAUGUCAUCUGUUGCUAAGCAUGCAGUUUAGUAUAUCACUGAGUCACAAACUGUCCUUAUACAUUUUGAUUAGGCUUUUCAAAAUUGGCUUUUUCACAGAAUAUAAUUAUUAAACUUUGAUAGAAUGAUUUUCUAAAACCAAGUCGGUGCCUACCAUUAGGCGUUCUUCAGGCAGUCACGUGUACCGCUAUCUAAUGCCUUCAACUACUAGUCCUAUCGUGUUAGUUAAUUCCUGCAGGAAACUAAUCUCUCUUUCAUUCCUUUCCAAAGUCUAAGCUCAGCUGCCACCGUGUCGAGACCGGAAAGAGACUGAAACACAGAAGAUCUGCUGCAACAGAGUGAAAGUAGCAGUUCCUCCUGAAGGUCAGAGAUUGCAGCAUCUGAGGGCCUCUUCAAAAGAAGACGUAGUUGAUGAAGACGUUCUGGAGCAGGACCAGAAAGACCACGACCAAGCAGCCUUGAGAUCUUAGGCAGCGUCUUCCUCAGGUCCCUCUCUAUCUCCCCACACAUCCACCAACCACUGGAACACAUCUCCAAAGUUCUGCUGGGCCAGCUCAGCUUCCCCUCAGAAGAAGUGCCACCACCUGCCAGAUGAAGGAGCCUUUUGAGAGGCAGCUGGCAUCGUGAUUGGACUGUACUUUGGUCUGUUCCAAUCCAGCUUCAGCUCCAGAGACGGCAGGCGGGACGAGUCAACGAAGGCUGGGUGGACGAAGGCAUGCAGCUGAGUACAAUCCAGAAAACAACAGAGGAGUGCAGUGGCCCAGGGCCAGAACAACCAG
ensembl:lncRNA